rnacentral:rRNA from 1 species
UUGCACGCUGGCGGCAGGCCUCACACAUGCAAGUCGAACGGUAACAGGAAACAGCUUGCUGUUUCGCUGACGAGUGGCGGACGGGUGAGUAAUGUCUGGGAAACUGCCUGAUGGAGGGGGAUAACUACUGGAAACGGUAGCUAAUACCGCAUAACGUCGCAAGACCAAAGAGGGGGACCCUCGGGCCUCUUGCCAUCGGAUGUGCCCAGAUGGGAUUAGCUUGUUGGUGGGGUAACGGCUCACCAAGGCGACGAUCCCUAGCUGGUCUGAGAGGAUGACCAGCCACACUGGAACUGAGACACGGUCCAGACUCCUACGGGAGGCAGCAGUGGGGAAUAUUGCACAAUGGGCGCAAGCCUGAUGCAGCCAUGCCGCGUGUAUGAAGAAGGCCUUCGGGUUGUAAAGUACUUUCAGCGGGGAGGAAGGGAGUAAAGUUAAUACCUUUGCUCAUUGACGUUACCCGCAGAAGAAGCACCGGCUAACUCCGUG